CUGGUACUGAACAGAACACAACAUUGGAGUCUUUGCAAACUUUGUUCAAAAACUACAACUAUUUGACACAAAACUGCGACAGCAAGCACAGAAACUUCAAACAAGUCACUGAAAGAAACCAAAUCCUGCGUGGAUCUUUGUCCUGACAGACGCCUAAAAUGGCUCAAGCUGUGGGAAAACCAAAUCUUAAGAGGUUCAACUCACAUGUCAGCAGUGACAGCAAGUACUGCUUCCAGGAUGUGGGGAUCUUACUGCCUCCUAAAUGUUUUAGGCUGAUGACGUGUGAUCUUCCCCUGCCUCCAAGUCCUCUAUCAUCCCCUGUGAAUGAUGAAAACACUAAUCCAAAUUGUAUCAGCGCACUGCCUUAUGAUGUUCCAUUGCCUCCAAGUCUUCCACCUUCUGAACAGGAGUAUGCUUGCCUUUGUUCCCUUGAACACAAGAGGUCUUAUUUGAUGCCUCUCAGUGUCCUGGCUAAUAUUCUGCUGCCUCCAAGUCCUCCACCAUCCCCUGUGUGUGCUGAAUACACGGAUCCAAAGUGUGUAAGCCCUCUGCCUCAUGAGGUUCUGCUGCCUCCAAGUCCUCCACCUGUUGAAGCUUUUGAUCGAUGUGGAAAGAAUCCAAGUUCAACAGUGUGGUCUGUAGGUGAUGAAGAGGAAGAUUUAAUGCUUAAGCUCAUUAGGCUGACGCUUCAUGAUGUUCCAGUGCCUCCAAGUCGUCCACCUUCUGAAAAGAAGUAUGCUUCCCUUCAUUCUCUAAAACACAAGAGGUCUGAUUUGUUGCCUCUCAGCCUCCUGGCUAAUAUUCCACUGCCUCCAAGUCCUCCACCGUCCCCUGUGUGUGCUGAAUACACGGAUCCAAAGUGUAUCAGCCCACUGCCACAUGAGGUUCCACUGCCUCCAACUCCUCCACCAUCCCCUGGGUGUGCUGAAUACACGGAUCCAAAGUGUGUCAGUCCACUGCCACAUGAGGUUCCACUGCCUCAAAGUCCUCCACCAGCUGAUGCCCGGCCUCAGUCAAAGGACACUCAUAAGGUCCUGCAUCCAGAUCUAAAAUAUGAUUGUUCUUCCCUGGACGAUGAAGUGGCCUUUUUCAUGUCUCCCACAGAAAAGCCUCCUAGUGUAACCACUCAUGAGGUUUCACCACGUCCACCUUAUGAAUUGCCACACCUUCCAGAGAAGAGAUACCUCAGUUUAUCUACUGUUGCUUUUCCUUGUCUUGAUGAUUAAAGAUGUGUUUGUUGUAAUAAAAUAAUUUUUGAACAAAU
ensembl:lncRNA